GACGAACGCUGGCGGCGUGCUUAACACAUGCAAGUCGAACGAAGAGCGAUGGAAGCUUGCUUCUAUCAAUCUUAGUGGCGAACGGGUGAGUAACGCGUAAUCAACCUGCCCUUCAGAGGGGGACAACAGUUGGAAACGACUGCUAAUACCGCAUACGAUCUAAUCUCGGCAUCGAGGAUAGAUGAAAGGUGGCCUCUACAUGUAAGCUAUCACUGCAGGAGGGGAUUGCGUCUGAUUAGUUAGUUGGCGGGGUAACGGCCCACCAAGGCGAUGAUCAGUAGCCGGUCUGAGAGGAUGGACGGCCACAUUGGGACUGGGACACGGCCCAGACUCCUACGGGAGGCAGCAGUGGGGAAUCUUGCGCAAUGGACGAAAGUCUGACGGAGCAACGCCGCGUGAGCGAUGACGGCCUUCGGGUUGUAAAGCUCUGUUAAUCGGGACGAAAGGCCUUCUUGCGAAUAGUGAGAAGGAUUGACGGUACCGGAAUAGAAAGCCACGGCUAACUACGUG
rnacentral:rRNA from 1 species